GCUACCUUUCUGGAGAAGCCACAUGGAGAAGAGAGGUCCUGGAGGUUGGGAGGCCACAUGGAGAACUGAGGCAUCCCAGCUGACAGCCAGCACCAACUGCCAGCCACGUGAGCGUGCCUUAUUGGAAGUAGACCCUACAGCCCCAAUCAAAGCUUCAGAUGAUGCCUUGACUGACACCUUGACUACAACCUCAUGAGUCCCUGAGCCAGAACCAUCCAGCUAAACCACUCCCAAUCUGACCCACAGAAACUCUGAGAUAAUUCCUAAAGACCUGAACCAACCGGACACCCCACAGAACAUCACACCAAUGCAUUACGCUGAUUGAUGGUGUCAUGCUGAUCCAACAGGAUGAGCAAGAGAUGGCUAAACACUGGAAGCCUAGGAAGAGAAACUCAUGAAAACUCCAGAGGAGCUGCUUCCUGAGUUUAUAUGGAGAAGCGGGUCUGUGAGGACUAGAGAUGGACUGUGGAAGCCAUAGGAAUGCAGCACUCAGGUCUUGCUUCAAGAAAGAACCUGCUGGAAGGAUUGCAGUUAGCAGACGGUCUCCAGAUUCAGUAUCUUUGAGAUCGACCGCAGUGUUCAUGCUAGGGCAGCAUUCUCCCUAAGCUGUUCCCAGCCAAUGAUAGUUUGGCAGAAGUACUAGAGCCAAGCCAUUUCUGGCCAGCAUGGACAACUUUGUGGGCAAGCUUUGCGCUGGGGCCCCAGUUGGGCUUGACAAGAUGUUCUCAGAACCGCUUUACAGCCUGAAGCUCUUCCUACCCAGCCCUCCUUUCUUCUCACUCUCCUUUCAGAGACAUCAAAUCUACAAUGCAGUCUGAAGGCUCUUGCUGACCACUGCUGCUCCCUUUCCCCCUUAUCUUUCAAGGUCAGGAAAUCCAAUAAAUCUCUGGUGGUUUUAAUGCCAUCUUGGGGCCUGAAUUGACAUGCUAGCACUCCUCAUCAGAACGGGCAAAGCCCUUGGAACCUGCAUGGCCUUGAAGGUGAGAAUUGAAAAAGAGGGUUGGAAUUGCAAUUCCUAAAAAACAAACAUGAGUUUUUAAUUUUCUGUUGCUACUCUG